AGUUGUGAUCAAACCAACACUAAUGCAGCGGAUCCCAUCAGAACUUCGCAUAUAAGCAUGCUUGUGCGAUAGUAGUACUAGGAUGGAUGACCUCCUGGGAAGUCCUCGUGUUGCACCUC
rfam:Lupinus angustifolius cultivar Tanjil chromosome LG15, whole genome shotgun sequence.